rnacentral:rRNA from 1 species
CUCCUUCGGGAGGGGAUUAGUGGCGAACGGGUGAGUAACACGUGGGCAAUCUGCCCUUCACUCUGGGACAAGCCCUGGAAACGGGGUCUAAUACCGGAUACGACCACCGACCGCAUGGUCUGGUGGUGGAAAGCUCCGGCGGUGAAGGAUGAGCCCGCGGCCUAUCAGCUUGUUGGUGGGGUGAUGGCCUACCAAGGCGACGACGGGUAGCCGGCCUGAGAGGGCGACCGGCCACACUGGGACUGAGACACGGCCCAGACUCCUACGGGAGGCAGCAGUGGGGAAUAUUGCACAAUGGGCGAAAGCCUGAUGCAGCGACGCCGCGUGAGGGAUGACGGCCUUCGGGUUGUAAACCUCUUUCAGCAGGGAAGAAGCGAGAGUGACGGUACCUGCAGAAGAAGCGCCGGCUAACUACGUGCCAGCAGCCGCGGUAAUACGUAGGGCGCAAGCGUUGUCCGGAAUUAUUGGGCGUAAAGAGCUCGUAGGCGGCUUGUCACGUCGGAUGUGAAAGCCCGGGGCUUAACCCCGGGUCUGCAUUCGAUACGGGCAGGCUAGAGUUCGGUAGGGGAGAUCGGAAUUCCUGGUGUAGCGGUGAAAUGCGCAGAUAUCAGGAGGAACACCGGUGGCGAAGGCGGAUCUCUGGGCCGAUACUGACGCUGAGGAGCGAAAGCGUGGGGAGCGAACAGGAUUAGAUACCCUGGUAGUCCACGCCGUAAACGUUGGGAACUAGGUGUGG